rnacentral:rRNA from 1 species
AAAUCGACCGCCUGGGGAGUACGGCCGCAAGGUUAAAACUCAAAUGAAUUGACGGGGGCCCGCACAAGCGGUGGAGCAUGUGGUUUAAUUCGAUGCAACGCGAAGAACCUUACCUGGUCUUGACAUCCACAGAACUUUCCAGAGAUGGAUUGGUGCCUUCGGGAACUGUGAGACAGGUGCUGCAUGGCUGUCGUCAGCUCGUGUUGUGAAAUGUUGGGUUAAGUCCCGCAACGAGCGCAACCCUUAUCCUUUGUUGCCAGCGGUCCGGCCGGGAACUCAAAGGAGACUGCCAGUGAUAAACUGGAGGAAGGUGGGGAUGACGUCAAGUCAUCAUGGCCCUUACGACCAGGGCUACACACGUGCUACAAUGGCAUAUACAAAGAGAAGCGACCUCGCGAGAGCAAGCGGACCUCAUAAAGUAUGUCGUAGUCCGGAUUGGAGUCUGCAACUCGACUCCAUGAAGUCGGAAUCGCUAGUAAUCGUAGAUCAGAAUGCUACGGUGAAUACGUUCCCGGGC